GCUUGCGGAGCCCACAGGCUCCCUGCUGAGUUCCCCCUCCUGCUUCCUGAAUGUGAAAGCCCAGCGGUGGCAGACAAGUCGUUUCUGCUUUGACACAUCUGCUGCACACAUUGCAAAGGAAGCCACGGCAAUUGGUGGCAGGCCACUCGGGAAAAGACACCUGGACACCACAGGGAGAAUGGAGUGUCAGCAGAAGCCCUUCGAGAGGUGUGGUUGGCGAUGUAAAUUUAUGGGCUGGGAACCAAAUAUCCACAUACCAUGAUUUUUAUAAUCCACUUUAGUGGUUAAAACUUCAAAUAAAGGUUUCAAAGUAUAUAUGGACACUAAUGAUCCAUAGAUAAACUAUCUUCACAGUAGGGAAGGAUGAGAAAAAUUAUGAAUGGAAAUCCGGUUUAUAGAAGAAUGAAAUGAUGGUGGGUCUUGAGUUAAGACUGCUGCGUGGUUAGCGAUAUUCAAGAAGGUAAGUGAAAUUAAGGUGUGUCUGACUUCUAGUAAUAUAGAUGGAUUUCAUACCUUUGCCUGCAUAGGAGCACGCAGCAUUUCCAAGUGUUACUAUCUGUAAUUGACAAAUUAUGUGACUCAUAUGACCAAAUUGUUCUCCUUCCAAAGACAUAUAAAGAAACAUGGUUACCUCGCCAACCAUUCUUUGUUACCAGAUGUUUAUUUUUAGGAUAUAGAGUGCAUCUGCAAAAAAGCAUGGAAGCACAAAACACAUCAGACCUAUGCUGGUGAGUCUGGCCACGGGACCAAGGCUCAAGACCGUAAAUUUUGUAUGGCUUGACCAUAUUAGGCAGAACUUACACAUUCUCUUAGGAGGGGAUUCAGUAGAGUGCUUUGCACACGGUGGAUGCUCAAUGAGUAGCCGCAUUUUCUGCUCUGCUUGUCAUGGUGACCACACCAUCAAAAUGCAAGUGACAAUUUUCAUAUGACAUUUAAGGAAUCCUGUGUGACUCGGGCUAACCAUAUUUUGAGAGCCUGACCUGAUUUAGCUCAGAAUUGGUUUCACGUCAGCUCUCAAUAGCCUGGCUUCCAGCUAUCAAUCAAACAGGUUGACUGAGCACCUUCUGUGUACCUGAUACAGAGCUAGGCUCCGAGAGGCAAAGAUGGAUGGACCAUGGCCCUGCUCUCCAAGGGCUCCCAACACAGUGGGGGUAGACAAGUGACCACAGGACAGCAAGAUGUGUGUUAGAGCAAGAUGCUGAGAGGCUUGCAGCAAGGUGCCCAAGUUGCCCCAAGGAGUCUAAGAAGGCUUGAGCGUGGAGAUGAAAUCUGCACCAGGUUUCAACAGACAAGUAAGUGGGAGUUUGCCCGGCCGGGUGGGGGCCACUGCAAGCAGAGAAGAGCACCUCCCAGUGGGCAGCACGCCGAACACCACGGCGCAUCUGAGGGGCAGCAGGACACACUGCCUGACCUCAUGAGCACAACGAUUUCCUAUCGCCACAAACUGGGGAUAAUAUAGAACAUCUCCACUUUGGAGCGAUCCUGGAGCUCCUUUUUAAGAAAAGCUCCUGGAGGCUGAAGUGCUUCCAAGCCAGCGGAACCCACCCAGGCCUGCCGCUCCAGGCACAGGUGCACCUGGCCCAAUCUCCCCGCCUCUGCCUCUCUGGGAUCAGCCAAGUUUCUCUGACCCAACACACCAAGAGAAGCGGUGGUGUGGUGAAACUGCCCAGCCGGAGCCAGCCCAGCCCAGAGCAGCACAUCCAGGACCAAGGAGCUCAGCCAGGGGCAGGGGCGGCACAGUCCUGCUUCCUGCUGCUCACACCCGGUGGGCCUGUGGGUGGCUCUACAGCUCUGCUCUGGCUGGGUGUUUCCCCUGAGCCCGCAGUCAGCCCUUCAGCUAACAGAGUCUACCAACAGAACAUUCCGUCCACAGCCUUAAUGCAAGUGGGAGGCUCUCUAGAUGACGAUCUAUGAAAAGAUCAACAAAAUAAAGAAACAACCGGCAAAGCCCAGGUUCACAUGUAAGACUUAGGGGGUCUGGAGCCUCUACUCAGGUCAUUCACCCGUCCUGUUCCCCACCUCCGGGCCUCGGGUGCCCAUCUGUAAGUGGGGCCGCCCAAUUCACGAGGUAGACGAGAAGUAAAACCGGGGGAGGUAAUGUGGGUGAAAGUACUCUAAACUCUAAACCUUCUGAAAGGCCAUGCAUUACUAUUGUAGAAAUUACUGGAGCUUAACUAACAACAUUACAGGAAAAACAACUGGCCUUUUCCUAUAACCCCAAAAGAAAAUUUCAACUUAAAAAAACAGCGGGACACCCUAUAGAGAGACAAUAGGUCUGUCAUUUGUUAUAAGGUAUCAAAAAUACUUU